UGGCGCGGGAGCGAUUCCCGCGGGGACGCGGGCGCGGACGCGGGAAGCCGGGGCGGGGCGGCGCGGGCCGGCGCGCUCUCCGCGGGGCGCCCUUUUGUUGUGGGACACCGACCCGCGCCGGUCCCCGCGGAGCAGAUGGAGCCGGGGAAACGAUCCGCACGCGCGGGAUGCUGUGGCUGCCGCCCUGCCCCCCAGCAACCUGCGGCGGCGGAGUUGCCUGGACCUGCCGGGGCGGCUCCCCAGCACCCGGUGCCGGGUGACACGUGAACCCUGGUUACCACCUGGCCUGAGAGCAGAUGGCACGCCCGUUAGCCCUGGGAACAAGCCUGGAAGCCACACCAGCAGGCCUCUUGGAAAAGAAAAUCAAAAGCUGUUGAUUCCUUCCAGACUAAUAUGGUUUGAUCAAGCAAGACCCCCCUGAAGCUGAGACGAUACAGCCUUACAGACUACAAAAACAAGGACUUGGUCAGGUUUCUAUGUUUUAUCAUGAUCCCUGUGGUAUAUAAACA
rnacentral:lncRNA from 1 species